UAAUAAUAAAAUUAAAGAUAAUAUUCUAAAGAAAUUCAAGUGUGAUCUUCCAAGGGCAUGGAGUCAGCUAGUUUUUUGGAACAGAUAUUAAAUAUUGUGGUAAUAAAAGUUAGGUCUCAGUGAGCUUGUCCAGCUCAUCCCAGUAACACCGGCUGCCACUUUUCUACCUCUUUCUUUGCAGAUUUACCCAGUCUUUUGUUCUUGGCAGCUGGUAAUACCACCCCCUACUCACUGCAUGAAAGGGCAUGGCAACAGUUUGUGAAGACUAAUGAACAAGAUCUGUUUUGGGAGUGAUCAUAACCUGAUUUAAUAUAGAGUUAUCAGGCUGCAAGUGUUUACAUUGUAGACAGGAAAGGAGCCCUUUGUCUUUCUGUAUUUGUGUGCGAGUAUGUGAACAGCAUGGAACGAUAUAACUGGCACAUUAAAGAGAAGGCUUUAUCUGCAAAAGGUACUGGAUUUGCCACAGGGUGAACCUGGGGCCACUAAUGAUGCUGCAUCCAAGAGAGACAACGAAAAUGAGCUCUGGCUCUUAGCCAUUUCGGUCUGCUAUUAUUUUGGACCAUUGGCCAUGAAUCAAGUUCAAGCCGAAUUGCCCACGCGCCACUGAGAACCGCAAGUAAAAGGUCUCCGAUGAAAUUAGCGGAGGAGCCGCUAGCCUCGUGCAGCUCAGGUGAGCCAGCAUUGCCUACCUGCCCCUAAAUGUCAGCACCGCUCGUCCUGCCUCUGCGCUGCUUUACAGCUGCGAGCACAAAGCCUUGGCAGUGCCUGGCUGCUGCUGAACGCUUUGCCU
rnacentral:lncRNA from 1 species